rnacentral:rRNA from 1 species
GAUAAACGCUGGCGGCGCACAUAAGACAUGCAAGUCGAACGGACUUAACCAUUAGUUUACUAUUGGAGCGGUUAGUGGCGGACUGGUGAGUAACACGUAAGCAACCUGCCUAUCAGAGGGGAACAACAGUUAGAAAUGACUGCUAAUACCGCAUAUGCCUAAGUACCACAUGGUACAAUAGGGAAAGGAGUAAUCCGCUGAUAGAUGGGCUUGCGUCUGAUUAGAUAGUUGGUGGGGUAAUGGCCUACCAAGUCGACGAUCAGUAGCCGGACUGAGAGGUUGAACGGCCACAUUGGGACUGAGACACGGCCCAGACUCCUACGGGAGGCAGCAGUGGGGAAUAUUGCACAAUGGGCGCAAGCCUGAUGCAGCAACGCCGCGUGGAGGAAGACGGUUUUCGGAUUGUAAACUCCUGUUCUUAGUGAAGAAUAAUGACGGUAGCUAAGGAGCAAGCCACGGCUAACUACGUG